rnacentral:rRNA from 1 species
CCUACGGGUGGCAGCAGUGGGGAAUAUUGGACAAUGGGCGAAAGCCUGAUCCAGCCAUGCCGCGUGUGUGAAGAAGGCCUUCGGGUUGUAAAGCACUUUCAGUGGGGAAGAAAGCCUUGGGGCUAAUACCCUCGAGGAAGGACAUCACCCACAGAAGAAGCACCGGCUAACUCCGUGCCAGCAGCCGCGGUAAUACGGAGGGUGCGAGCGUUAAUCGGAAUUACUGGGCGUAAAGCGCGCGUAGGCGGUCUGAUAAGCCGGUUGUGAAAGCCCCGGGCUCAACCUGGGAACGGCAUCCGGAACGGUCAGGCUAGAGUGCAGGAGAGGAAGGUAGAAUUCCCGGUGUAGCGGUGAAAUGCGUAGAGAUCGGGAGGAAUACCAGGGGCGAAGGCGGCCUUCUGGACUGACACUGACGCUGAGGUGCGAAAGCGUGGGUAGCAAACAGGAUUAGAUACCCCGGUAGUC